AUUCCAGCUCCAAUAGCGUAUAUUAAAGUUGUUGCAGUUAAAACGCUCGUAGUCGGAUUUCGGUUCUUUUCUCCCUUUCUUCCUCUUUUUCUUCCCUGGCCGUCUCGUCCUUCCACCCGGAGACCGCGCCUACUCUUAACUGAGCGGGCGCGGGAGACGGGUCUUUUACUUUGAAAAAAUCAGAGUGUUUCAAGCAGGCAGUCGCUCUUGCAUGGAUUAGCAUGGGAUAAUGAAAUAGGACUCUGGUGCUAUUUUGUUGGUUUCGAACACCGGAGUAAUGAUUAACAGGGACAGUCAGGGGCACUCGUAUUCCGCCGAGAGAGGUGAAAUUCUCAGACCAGCGGAAGACGAACCACUGCGAAAGCAUUUGCCAGGGAUGUUUUCAUUG
rnacentral:rRNA from 1 species